rnacentral:rRNA from 1 species
CAAUAGCGUAUAUUUAAGUUGCUGCAGUUAAAAAGCUCGUAGUCGGAUUUUGGCUGAGAACGAACGGUCCGCCGUUAGGUGUGCACUGUUUGGUCUCAGCUUCCUGGUGAGGAGGUGUGCUUCACGGCCACUUAGUCACCGUGGUUACUUUGAAAAAAUUAGAGUGUUCAAAGCGGGCUUACGCUUGAAUAUAUUAGCAUGGAAUAACACCAUAGGACUCCUGUCCUAUUUCGUUGGUCUCGGGACGGGAGUAAUGAUUAAGAGGAACAGUUGUGGGCAUUCGUAUUUCAUUGUCAGAGGUGAAAUUCUUGGAUUUAUGAAAGACGAACUUCUGCGAAAGCAUUUGCCAAGGAUGUUUUCAUUGA